UUCUCCAGUACUACUUUUUUUUCACUGUUAUUUGAAGUAUGAUAAUUCUUUUUAUACUUUUGUGCCACUGAACAUAAGGAGAUUCUAUUUAUUUUGGAGGUCUACAGAAAAAAAAUAUUGCUAAUUGAACGAAGUAAGAUGGAAAUAUUUUGAUUAAUACAACAAUUACGGGUAUGUGGGAUGGUGUUUGUGACAGAUGUCUGGAAAUAGUUCUCUGAAAUAAUGCAAAAAAAUUGCUGAAGGUAACUGCUGGAAUUUUUAAAACAGAAACUACUGAUAAAUAAACAUCAUUUGAGAUUGUGCUAAUGGAGAGUUGUUGAAUUUUAACUUGUCCCUUUCUCUUGGACACCUGCUGCUGGUGGAAAGUGACAGGUAUCCCGUGGAACUAAUCGAUGUGCGCGAAGCUGGCCAGGACACUACGGCUAUAAAAGAAAAUGUUCUUAAAACGGAAACUAUUGAUAAAUAAAGAUCCUUUCAUAUUGCCUAUUGGGAAGUUGUGAAAUUUUAGCUUGUCCUUUUCUCUUAAAAAAUGAGGAAAGCAUUGCGCAUUGACUAUGUGGUACUUUGUCAUGUUAGUCCCUUUUUUGUGGAGCAUGGCUGCAAGAAGACAACAACGUAACACGAAAGAACUUUGAUGUUUUUAGGUAAUAAUAUACUCCUCUUUUCCAUUUUUCAGUCUAAUGAUUUCUUCUACAUUUAUUAUGUAUUACAUAUACUUCUAAUAUUGAGUUUUCUAUUAAAGAGUUCUAUAAAUGAAGAAUCUUUGAGUUCCAAAAUGCCUCUGGUAUGUGCAUUAUUUCAUUCAGUUCUGGUGAGUUUUUCUCUGUUCUUGAUUUUCUCAUUGCACCCAAUUAGCUAGCGGGAUUUUAGUGCGUAAUAAGUAGUUUCUCCGUACCUUACGGUAGUUUCUUGUAAUUUUAAUUUUACACACAUGGCUACUGAUAUCCAGUUUGCAUACUGAUGCAUCGAAGGUGUUCGGUAAUAUGCCUAAAUCAACUCUUUUUUAAUAGCUUUUCUCUUUUGACAGUUUUUCUAUAUUCCAGCAAUUGGAAAGGUGACUUUCCGUUGUAAAUUGAGCCAUGAAAUGAUGAACUGCCCUCUGCUGAUAGUAUACACUGUCGGUAAUCAAGACGGGAACAAGAUUACUGACAAACCAAUCUUGGACUAUAUCAUGAAGUCUCUUGGUCCAGAUUGUUUCUCUGCCUCUUCAAUGAGAAGAUCAGUUGGCGUUACUACAGGAAUGCGCCGCACCUUAAUUAAGUUUAACUAAAAGUGAGAGAGCCGGUCUACCAUCUGAAGUAAGUGCUUCCAUCACCAGUCUUAAAUGAAAUAUGGUGAAUGGUGAAGUAUCGAACUAUAGCACCGGAGCAAAAGCUAUAUUGCAAGUUAUGAUGAGGAAAAAUGGGGUUACAAUUGCUGACCGGGAAAAGUUGUCUUGAUCAAGCAACCCUGACGCACUGUUCUUAGGGGUAGUAGAAAUUCAGGAGAUGUGACAACAUUUGGUAUAUCAGGGGGCCUCUCACAUUGAGAGAAGGCUUGACUUGCUGAUGAUUGUAGACGGGAACUAUGAACAUGCAGCAGAGGAUCAGAUGAUAAAGAAAGGCUAGAUAUGUUGUUAAUUGGCAAGACACCGACUACUCAGUAGUGGCAAUUUGGUGCAAGGAUAGACUAAAACUUUGGCACAUCGAUGCUAAAGUACCAGAAACUUACUAGGUAGUAGGUACUAUAUUUUCCUAUGUAUUUCAGAAAUCUUAUAAAUUUUCUUAUCACAUUACAUCUAACUAGAACAUGUUUUAUCUAUAUUUGUGGACUU